UGGGGAAUAUUGGACAAUGGGGGAAACCCUGAUCCAGCAAUGCCGCGUGAGUGAAGAAGGCCUUAGGGUUGUAAAGCUCUUUCGCCCGCGAAGAUAAUGACGGUAGCGGGAGAAGAAGCCCCGGCUAACUCCGUGCCAGCAGCCGCGGUAAUACGGAGGGGGCUAGCGUUGUUCGGAAUUACUGGGCGUAAAGCGUACGUAGGCGGAUGCGCAAGUUGGGGGUGAAAUCCCGGGGCUUAACCUCGGAAUUGCCCUCAAAACUGCACGUCUUGAGACCGAGAGAGGUAAGGGGAAUUCCUAGUGUAGAGGUGAAGUUCGUAGAUAUUAGGAAGAACACCAGCGGCGAAGGCGCCUUACUGGCUCGGUACUGACGCUGAGGUACGAAAGCGUGGGGAGCAAACA
rnacentral:rRNA from 1 species